rnacentral:rRNA from 1 species
UACGUAGGGGCAAGCGUUGUCCGGAUUUACUGGGCGUAAAGAGCGCGUAGGCGGAGAGUUAAGCGUGCCUUGAAAGCCCCCGGCUCAACCGGGGAAGGUGGGUGCGAACUGGCUUUCUUGAGGGCGAUAGAGGGGGGCGGAAUUCCUGGUGUAGCGGUGAAAUGCGCAGAUAUCAGGAGGACACCGGUGGCGAAGGCGGAUCUCUGGCCUUGCCUGACGCUGGAGGCGCGAAAGCUAGGGGAGCGAA